GAGUUUGAACCUGGCUCAGGACGAACGCUGGCGGCGUGCCUAAUACAUGCAAGUCGAACGGAGAUAUUCGCUGAUGAAGUACUUCGGUAAUGAAUCUUGGAUAUCUUAGUGGCGGACGGGUGAGUAACGCGUGAGCAACCUGCCUUUCAGAGGGGGAUAACGUUUGGAAACGAACGCUAAUACCGCAUGACAUUAUCUUAUCGCAUGGUAGGAUAAUCAAAGGAGCAAUCCGCUGAAAGAUGGGCUCGCGUCCGAUUAGGUAGUUGGUGGGGUAACGGCCCACCAAGCCGACGAUCGGUAGCCGGACUGAGAGGUUGGACGGCCACAUUGGGACUGAGACACGGCCCAGACUCCUACGGGAGGCAGCAGUAAGGGAUAUUGGUCAAUGGGGGAAACCCUGAACCAGCAACGCCGCGUGAGGGAAGACGGUUUUCGGAUUGUAAACCUCUGUCCUCUGUGAAGAUGAUGACGGUAGCAGAGGAGGAAGCUCCGGCUAACUACGUGCCAGCAGCCGCGGUAAUACGUAGGGAGCGAGCGUUGUCCGGAUUUACUGGGUGUAAAGGGUGCGUAGGCGGCUUGGCAAGUCAGUAGUGAAAUCCAUGGGCUUAACCCAUGAACUGCUAUUGAAACUGUCGAGCUUGAGUGAAGUAGAGGUAGGCGGAAUUCCCGGUGUAGCGGUGAAAUGCGUAGAGAUCGGGAGGAACACCAGUGGCGAAAGCGGCCUACUGGGCUUUAAC
rnacentral:rRNA from 1 species